rnacentral:rRNA from 1 species
AUUGAACGCUGGCGGCAGGCCUAACACAUGCAAGUCGAACGGUAACAGGAAGAAGCUUGCUUCUUUGCUGACGAGUGGCGGACGGGUGAGUAAUGUCUGGGAAACUGCCUGAUGGAGGGGGAUAACUACUGGAAACGGUAGCUAAUACCGCAUAACGUCGCAAGACCAAAGAGGGGGACCUUCGGGCCUCUUGCCAUCGGAUGUGCCCAGAUGGGAUUAGCUAGUAGGUGGGGUAACGGCUCACCUAGGCGACGAUCCCUAGCUGGUCUGAGAGGAUGACCAGCCCCACCGGGACUGGGACCCCGUCCCGACUCCUACGGGAGGGAGCAGUGGGGAAUAUUGCACCAUGGGGCGAAGCCUGAUGCAGCCAUGCCGCGUGUAUGAAGAAGGCCUUCGGGUUGUAAAGUACUUUCAGCGGGGAGGAAGGGAGUAAAGUUAAUACCUUUGCUCAUUGACGUUACCCGCAGAAGAAGCACCGGCUAACUCCGUG